UGAGAAUUCCUCUUAUGAACGUGUUGGUU
rnacentral:piRNA from 1 species